CCCUUAGAUGUUCUGGGCCGCACGCGUGCUACACUGAGUGGAUCAGCGGGUCAGGUUGCGCGAAAGUGUUUCCUAAUCUUGAAAUCCGCUCGUGAUGGGGAUUGACGGUUGCAAUUUUCCGUCAUGAACGAGGAAUACCUUGUAAGCGCGGGUCAUCAUCCCGCGCUGAAUACGUCCCUGCCCUUUGUACACACCGCCCGUCGCGCCUACCGAUUGAGUGGUCCGGUGAGGCUUUGGGAUCUGAGCAAAAAGAGCGUUUCGCUCGUUUGGCUCGGAAAACUCAGUCGAACCUUAUCAUUUAGAGGAAGGAGAAGUCGUAACA
rnacentral:rRNA from 1 species